UACGUAGGGUGCGAGCGUUAAUCGGAAUUACUGGGCGUAAAGCGUGCGCAGGCGGUUCGUUGUGUCCGAUGUGAAAGCCCCGGGCUUAACCUGGGAAUGGCAUUGGAAACUGGCGAGCUUGAGUGCGGCAGAGGGGGGUGGAAUUCCACGUGUAGCAGUGAAAUGCGUAGAGAUGUGGAGGAAUACCGAUGGCGAAGGCAGCCUCCUGGGCCAACACUGACGCUCAUGCACGAAAGCGUGGGGAGCAAACAGG
rnacentral:rRNA from 1 species